UUUAAGGAGAAAGCGCGCAAAACAAGGCAUGGCGGAUAAUAAAAAUGAUAUUUCGAGAAGGCUGACAGAAGCGAUAGGAAGGGUAAUCAUGCAAACUUUGGGUACAAGAGAGGCAUCAACGGCUGAUGACAUCCCCAGCCAAAACAGUUCUAACUCUAGUUCUAUUACAGUCCAGCCUGUCCAGUUUUAAUUCACAUGAUUAAAAGGAGCAAAACAUAAUUGUGAUAUACACAAUGUGUUCUCUGUAGCAAAGAAUUCCAGCUCAAGAUAGUAAUGACUGAAAAUAUACAAGAUUUACAUGAAAGAGGUGAAAAUGAUAUUAACAGAAGGGCUGGCCGACCUAGGAAGAGAGUUAACAAAGAAUAUUUGUUGAACUUUCUUCAACUGAAAGUUCCUAUAUGUGAUAUUGCAAGACAUCUUUCAGUGUCAAGAAUUACCAUUUAUAGAUAUAUGGAGGAAUAUGGAAUAUUGACUAAGUGAAACUGUUGAAGUAAAAGAUGGAGAAGAUGUGGUUACAGCUACGGCUGAUUCAACACUUGUUGCUGACAAGGGAUGUGUAUGAUUUAAAACAGUUUCACUAACAGCAUCACUCUUUUCAUCUUUAGGUUGGUUGCCAAUUCCUUUUACACUCUUUCAGUAAAAUAAAUAAUACAGUCAUUAAAAAGUUUUGAGAACAGUUA